ACAGGAGAUCCCAAUUAGUACAUAUUUAAAGGUUUUCACAAUAAAGCCAGAUAUAGAAAGGCUACAGGAUGAGCUGCAGCAUUUCAGGAUUCCCAUCAUGAAAAACAUCUUUGCAUGUCUCCUGUUAGUCUCCCUGUCUGUGCCUAUCUGGACGUGGCUUUCCUUUCCGGCCCUGGCUCUCCACCUCCACCUGCACACCUGAUCCGCAUUCCACUCAUCAAGACUCUGUAGUAUAUCAACCCAGUCUUCAUCUCACUCUUCGCCAGAUCAUCAGCUUCCCACAGUGGAUCACUGCCUGCCUGGAGAUUCUGCAGACUGCCACGCCCAUCUCACUGCCUGCCUGGAAAUUCCCUCGUUGAUCUUCACUCCCUGGCUUGCUCUCUGCUCUGCUCCACCAACCUUUCAAUAAACUGUAUAUUCCUGGAAUAGAA